UGAACGCUGGCGGCGUGCCUAAUACAUGCAGUCGAGCGAACAGACGAGGAGCUUGCUCCUCUGACGUUAGCGGCGGACGGGUGAGUAACACGUGGAUAACCUACCUAUAAGACUGGGAUAACUUUGGGAAACCGGAGCUAAUACCGGAUAAUAUAUUGAACCGCAUGGUUCAAUAGUGAAAGACGGUUUUGCUGUCACUUAUAGAUGGAUCCGCGCCGCAUUAGCUAGUUGGUAAGGUAACGGCUUACCAAGGCAACGAUGCGUAGCCGACCUGAGAGGGUGAUCGGCCACACUGGAACUGAGACACGGUCCAGACUCCUACGGGAGGCAGCAGUAGGGAAUCUUCCGCAAUGGGCGAAAGCUUGACGGAGCAACGCCGCGUGAGUGAUGAAGGUCUUCGGAUCGUAAAACUCUGUUAUUAGGGAAGAACAAAUGUGUAAGUAACUAUGCACGUCUUGACGGUACCUAAUCAGAAAGCCACGGCUAACUACGUG
rnacentral:rRNA from 1 species